GCUCAACCACUGAGGGGAGGAACUUCACCAUUCAAAAGACAUUGUCUUCAGGUAGAGUCCAGCAAAGCAGCUUCCCCUGGAAAUCCUCAGUGAAGUUAUUUUGUCAGUGGGUGACUCUGCAUAUUUGACACUUUCUCUGGUUUG